ensembl:misc_RNA 7SK 7SK RNA
GGAUGUGAGGGCGAUCUGGCUGCGACAUCUGUCACCCCAUUGAUCGCCAGGGUUGAUUCGGCUGAUCUGGCUGGCUAGGCGGGUGUCCCCCUCCUCCCUCACCGAUCCAUGUGCGUCCCUCCCGAAGCUGCGCGCUCGGUCGAAGAGGACGACCUUCCCCCCCGAGGAGAGGACCGGUCUUCGGUCAAGGGUAUACGAGUAGCUGCGCUCCCCUGCUAGAACCUCCAAACAAGCUCUCAAAGAGUCAACACAGAUUCUAGUUAAAAUAGAAUGUUAUCUAGGAGUUCAUGCCUGUGUGGGACUUACCUAUAUGUGGAGCCUUGUAUGAGAACAUUCCAAAUCAU